CGACCAAGCGGUAUCACUCGCA
rnacentral:siRNA from 1 species